rnacentral:rRNA from 1 species
CUACGGGAUGCAGCAGUGAGGAAUAUUGGUCAAUGGGCGCGAGCCUGAACCAGCCAUCCCGCGUGCAGGAUGACGGCCCUAUGGGUUGUAAACUGCUUUUCUAUGCCAAGAAACCUGAUUACGUGUAAUCAGUUGCCGGUAGCAUAGGAAUAAGCAUCGGCUAACUCCGUGCCAGCAGCCGCGGUAAUACGGAGGAUGCAAGCGUUAUCCGGAUUCAUUGGGUUUAAAGGGUGCGCAGGUGGGCUUGUAAGUCAGUGGUGAAAUGCUGCCGCUUAACGGUAGAACUGCCAUUGAUACUGCGAGUCUUGAGUAUGGUUGAGGUAGGCGGAAUGUGUUGUGUAGCGGUGAAAUGCAUAGAUAUGACACAGAACGCCAAUUGCGAAGGCAGCUUACUAAGCCAUUACUGACGCUGAGGCACGAAAGCGUGGGGAGCGAACAGGAUUAGAUACCCGAGUAGUC